ACGAACGCUGGCGGCGUGCUUAACACAUGCCAGUCGAACGGAAAGGCCCCUUUGGGGGUACUCGAGUGGCGAACGGGUGAGUAACACGUGAGUAACCUGCCCUUGACUUCGGGAUAACUUCAGGAAACUGGGGCUAAUACCGGAUAGGAAUCCUUGCUGCAUGGUGGGGGUUGGAAAGCUUCGGCGGUUUUGGAUGGACUCGCGGCUUAUCAGCUUGUUGGUGGGGUAGUGGCUUACCAAGGCUUUGACGGGUAGCCGGCCUGAGAGGGCGACCGGCCACAUUGGGACAGAGAUACGGCCCAGACUCCUACGGGAGGCAGCAGUGGGGGAUAUUGCACAAUGGGCGGAAGCCUGAUGCAGCAACGCCGCGUGCGGGAUGACGGCCUUCGGGUUGUAAACCGCUUUCAGCAGGGGCGAAGCUUGUGGUGACGGUACCUGCAGAAGAAGCACCGGCUAACUACGUG
rnacentral:rRNA from 1 species